UACGUAGGGGGCAAGCGUUGUCCGGAAUCAUUGGGCGUAAAGCGCGUGUAGGCGGCCCGGUAAGUCCGCUGUGAAAGUCCAGGGCUCAACCCUGGAAUGCCGGUGGAUACUGUCGGGCUCGAGUCCGGAAGAGGCGAGUGGAAUUCCUGGUGUAGCGGUGAAAUGCGCAGAUAUCAGGAGGAACCCCAAUGGCGAAGGCAGCUCGCUGGGACGGUACUGACGCUGAGACGCGAAAGCGUGGGGAGCAAACAGG
rnacentral:rRNA from 1 species